CCCUGACCCUAUACCCGUGCGGUGUGAUGGGGACCUGCCCAUCUGCACAUGGGAGUAGAUCCGAGUGCCUGUGUAGCACAGCAAGAUUAGCAGUGUAGGGCCUGCUGUAAAGAUCCUUGAAGUCCAUGAGAGCAUUUCCGUUGAUUUCAAAGGCUCUGGAUUACACUCUUUAACAUCCACAAAUGAAAGAUACUGUAUUAGAGCAAACCGUUAUUAUUUAGGGCCACACUGCCCAUCUGUUGUGCUGCUCUCAGGGCAUCACCAGCAGACCAGCAAAACCAGCAGAGCCCCAUUAUGUACUGCUCUGCCUCUCCUUUAGACUGCUGAAAUCUAAUAACCCACCUAACUCUCAUGGCCCUCAGAAACACACACUGCAUUCCCUUCAACGUGGCCGUGUCUCUCUGCUUUUUUUCCUUGACAAAAUUCCCACGUGGAGGUAUCAGGGCUUUCCUACAGCUCUAUUUCAUUUACAAAAUAAGUGGAUCGUUAUUUUCCUUAAGAACCAAACUUCAGCCAUAAGUAAUUUCUAGAGAUGUGUCAAGUGGCUCAGCAAAAACGUUAAUCUUGAUCUAUUGGUUUGUUAGAUAUGUUUACAUCCAAUCAGUUAGCUCUCCUUAAACAAAAGUGAUUUAAAGCCCUUUCUGGAGAGCAUGAAAAUGAUUCCCCUGGCACUCAGGGCCAUAAUCCAACAAAAGCAGGCUUAUCUUUAAGCAUAUGAGUAGUCCUGCCAAAGUCAAUGGGGCUCCAGAUGUGUUUAAAGAUAAACACACACUUGAGUGCUUCGCUGUGUUGGAACUCUGAAUGUUUUAUUUGCAUUUCAUUUCCAUAACAGACUUUCAUGUAUAUUGAAAUCUGUAUGCAGCAGAAGGGGAUUGUUGCUGGGUGCUACAUUGAAAUAUGAUUUUUAAGAAUAUGGGAAGAAAAUCCCCGGGUCAAGCAUAUGUCUUUUAAUGAUUGAAAUUAGUUAUUUGAACUACGAGUCCAUAUUUGAAUUGAUUUAUUUUGGGCUUGUAGCAGAAAUGCUAAGUGAUGGCUUGACCCAGUGAUUGAGCACCUGGUGGGAAGGCAGGGCCAACCCAGGGGAGCUCAGGUGCACGCAAUGCAAUGCAAUGCAAUGCACCUGAGUGAGCAGAGGGGUGAAGCCAGGAUCCACCCCUUCUCAGACCUCAUUUAAGGGUUGGCUGUGAAGGUGAGGGUGUUUUGCUGAACAUCCUUGCCUACCUGAAGCCUUCCGAAGAAUAAAUCUUCGCGGUUUAAAAUCGAAGUGCUGAAAGAGUACAUGCUGGGUCUGCUCCCCUGACCGUGUCACCUUAGCAAACUUCUCCUCGUGAGCUGUUUAAACCUUCGAGCUUGCUUGUAUUUGCUAUGGGAAUGAAUAGGAUUGCAGGAGCUUUAGCACGCAGCAGAGACUCGUGGGCUAGCAGCUUUUGAGGUUAUACCCAUGAGUGCUCGAGCAGAGCUGGUGCAGCUAAUUCCUCUGUCUGCAGAGGGUGAAGCGAAGGCAGAGGGAGGCUGAGUGUUCAGUGCUGAUGGUCACAGAGGGAGCCAGAGACACGGCCAAGGCUGAAUCCGAAGGCUCUCAAUGUGCAGUCAGAGAACAAACAGUAUUUCCUCUUAAUUCGCCGUUUUCCCUCAUGAAAAGAAUCACGUCUCAUGGCUUUCUCUCCCCAUUGUUCCGAUGACUCACAUAAGCCACGGGCAUGAUACAGGCAAUGAAGCUUUGCAUUAAUCUACUGUCCAGAUUGAUAACUCUAAGGAGCAUCUCAUAAUGACCAAAAUGUGAUUAAUCAUGAUACACGUGUGAUACCCAUGCUCAUUAUUACUGGCCUCCAGAACAGUGCUGCUGAUUCCUGCCAAUAUGCUCAGUUUCGUAUCUGGAAGAGACAAUACUGUAAUUACUGCCAAAGUAUGCAGGAAAAUUAAGCAGCAGCUCGGUCUGCGUUCUGCAUCGGGCUAGCAGAAAGGACUAUAGAAAAGCAUGGGAAUCAACAGCCACAAGGAAUAACAAAUAUUUUCUGUGUGUACUUCAUUUUAAAUAGAUGUUGUCUGACGCAGCCAUUUAGUUUGAACUGUUGCCUUGCAGAAUUCUUUCUGGAAGAGGAAAGUGUAGGGCAUGGUGGACACAGCAACUGGAGGAAAAAAAGAAAGGAGCUGAUGAAGCGUAUUUGGAAAAGGAUCUGUCCCUCUAUGAUGUCAACACAUUUUUCUGCAGAGCUCUUUGUAUGAUGUUGCCUACCUGUAAGACAAAUUGUCUUUGUCUCGCCGUUAGAGUUCUUGUGCACCUGCGUCGAUAACUUCAUGUAGAAUACACCAAGAGAUAGCUUUUAUAUCAUGGCAUGGGGACCCACGUGCCAGUGGUCCACACAGUAGGGUGUAUAUGUUGAAAUUGACAGAUAUGGCCAUUUCCUCCCUAGGAGUGACUAAUGCCAGAGGGCAACGGUAGUUCAUUAUGCCAUGCACUGUGUCAGGGAGGUGCCCCAAGCUUAUGGUGGCCAGAAUCCCUACGAGUGAAGAACUUUUUGGUGAAUCUCCUGCUUUGUGAAGAUUGUCUUCUCAGCUGACGGACGGAAACAUCCUGACUCAGGGAAACACAAUAAUGAGGGAUUUGUGUUUCCCCUUCGUUUGCCUUUUGCAGUGCCCAGGGGUUGGAUGUGCAGGAGCAAGUCCUUGGCCCUUCUACAUGAUGUAAAUCUACCAUAUUCUCUGUUUGUUGAAAGCAACCAGGAAGGUAUUCAGGGCCCAAGAUUCCAGUUUAGGAAGUUGUAGCAAUGAUGGGCAUCUUCCCUACUCAUUGUUUGAAAGAUUGUGAUAACAGCAACAGAAAUAAUGGCAGUCAAUGAGAAAUGAAGUUCUUAGUUCUUCUGUGCAUCAGAAUACACUGCAAGCUGAUAAGCUGUGUAUGGAAAGCAUCACAGUAGUCUGUGUAGCAAAGUACAGCCAGGGAGUACACGUGCAGUGUGCUGAGGCAUUUUUAAGCAAUAUUUAAGAGGAAAAGAGGUAACCCCUAAUCUGCUUAUCCAGUGGUGCGUGGGUAAGCGUGCUGACGCUGAGGAUGUCCCUGGAGCUAUGGCAGUAAGAAGGGAAAGCAGGGAACCUCAUUCCAGGUUAUGAAAGAACAUAAUAUGCAGGAGUGUUUUAUGUAAGUCUACGAGGGGGGAAAAUGGAUGAAAAUAGGGGAAUGGAGUUGUAGUGACUGUUACACCUGCAGAAGAAGUUGACUUUAGAGGUGGUCAUAAUGUGAAUUUCCUGUGUGUGCUGUGUUUGUAAUGUGUGAAAACAAAUUUAACUCAUCAGGUGGGAAAGUUCUUACAGAACUGAUGUCUGUGGACAGAAAGGAGUUUGUAACACAGUUAAGAUGCUGCAUGUACAGAACAAAAUUUCCCUGGACUUCACUGGGCUUUGGAUCAGACCUUCCUUCUGAAUUAAAAGAGUAUCACAUAAAUACAGUAUUCGUUUUGCAGAUAUUCUGCUUCAAACAGAGUAACUGAGUUCAGCCACUCUGCUUUUAUUAUUAUGACAAAUAUCUCCACAUUAGCAUAAGGGAAAACAAGGGGUGAAAUGCCAGGCGUGCUCCCACGCAUCUGAACCAACAGAAUUGCUCUCUGCAUUUUGCAGACCUUCUGCAUGAAUCAUUAUGCCCAUUCUGUGUAAUAAAUAAUAAUAAUAAUAAUUUGUGAUGUAAAAAGUGCUCUCAAGAGAACUUUGUUUUAUUUAGCAUUUAAUAAAUGUAUUCAGCAAGGACUGCCUUGCCUAUACACGUAUAUGCUAUAUCCGUAUUUGUGUGCCUCGUGCAGCAAAGCUGCUACCUGCUAAACACAGAUCUAUACUUCGGCCACGUGAGAAUGCCCCACUCAUCAGCUCCACUUGUUGCACCUCUCCUGGGAUGGCCAAAUCUCUCACAAAUGUGCAGUUUUAUGAGCAUCCCUCGGCACGACAGGCGUCACACAGCACUGCAAAUUCAUGAACGAAACGAACUCACUCCAUCCUCUCUCUGGAUCUGCAUGGAGCCUCUCACAAUGGGGCUGUGAUUUAUUUGGGGCCUCUGGGUAUGACUGCCAUACAAGUAGUAACUAAUGACAACAGACCACCAGAGAUUGCUGAGAUUUGCUUGCAGUAAGGAAAAAUAAACUGGUCCGUAGCACGGACAUUGCACAUCUGGUUAUGUGCAUAAACAGGGCUGAUUAAAAUCUUGGG
ensembl:lncRNA